AUAUUUAUGUUUCACAAAAUUAGGAUCAAGCAUAUGUUAGCAAAUGAUUAUAUGAUUUUGGAUCAUGAUUAUUAUUAUAGUAUAUACACAUGAUUAUGAUGUUGUAGAAAGAUGCAUAGAAAAAUGAAGUUUUCAGCAUGAUCAUGAGUUUUAUUUAGCAUGAUGCCAUUAUUCACUCUCCAAUGUACCUACGAGAAAAGAUUUAUGAAAAGCAUGAUAUGUUUUAAAGAACUCUCAGAUUGCUAUGUACGACCCCCGCCAGUGGGUAACAGUAACUAGGCAUAUGACCCCAGCCAGUGGGUAAAAGUAACUUGGCUUUACGACCCCCGCCAGUGGGUAAUAGUAACUGGAAGAAGACCCUGCCAACGGGGAACAAUAGUUGGCAAAGAUUAUGGCCCUCGCCAGUGGGUUAUAGUAGCUCGGCAUACGGCCCUCGCCAGCGGGUUAUAGUAGCUUGGUUUAGACCCUGCCAACGGGGAACAAUAGUUGGCAAAGAUUAUGGCCCUCGCCAGCGGGUUACAGUAGCUCGGCAUACGGCCCUCGCCAGCGGGUUAUAGUAGCUUGGUUUAGACCUUGCCAACGGGGAACAAUAGUUGGCAAAGAUUAUGGCCCUCGCCAGCGGGUUACAGUAGCUCGGCAUACGGCCCUCGCCAGUGGGUUAU
rnacentral:lncRNA from 1 species